CUAGGCCUGGGGUAAGGGGAAGGCAGGGAGUCAGUACCGCAGGGCGGGAGGCUGUGACCCACUCGUGAUCUGGAGUGGAGAGGUGUUAAAAUGCCGCCACCCAGCUACAGGGAGCCUUGGGCUGAUCACCCUGCCUCUGCUUGAUCAUCCUGUUCCUGCGUGCAUGCUGUUAAGAGAGCGCUUAUCUGUGGGGCUCAUCACACUACUUCUGGAGAGCAAUAAUUUUCCCUUUGGGAUAGACCAGAUUGCCCCAAAUGAGACAUAUUUUCAAAUCACUAAUUGCUUAGUGAGAAUAUGCCUGGGACAUAUGGGACACCCACUCUCCAUCAGUGAUGUCACCCUCGCCCACUGAAUUGUGUGCGGGGUACUCAAUAUGCUUGCAGUAUUUUGUCAGGACCAAAGGUCACUGGUUGAAUUCACAGUGUAACUUCGCUCUAUGCUCUGUGAUUUUUCAUGCAAUGGAUUUUCAGGAUGCCUACUGGGAAUUACAGGAAUUCUGCAACUGGGGAACAGACUAACAAACUCCCAUGAUUCCUCUCCUGGCAGCGGUUAAUUUUGACAUUACCAUUUUCAAACUGCUGUCAGGCAGCAUGGAGGAUCCAGUGCUGAGCGCUAUGAUCAUGACAGUCAUUAAUACAAACAGGAUGAUGCACACGCAUUUGCAGUCAGACUGAUGGGUGGAUGCUGCUCGGUGAUUUCAUAGUGCUAUUGAUGCUAUGGAUAUGGCUAAUAGAGGAGGAGGAGGAAAUUGAGCAGUUAGUUCUGCAGGGUAUUUAUCUGGAACAUCUUUACUCAGUGGAGCACUGCUUCUGGGUUCAAUCAACUAGAAGUGACUGGUGUGACAGUGUAGUGAUUCAAAACUGGACUGACCAGCAGUAGUAUCAGCACUUCAGGAUGACAAAGGACACUUUCCUGGAAACCUGGACAGAGCUGUCCCUGGAGCUUCAGCACCAGAACACCAACAUGAGAGCUCCUUUCAGCAUGAAGCAGCAUGUUGCCAUCCCCAGGUGGAAAUUACCAGUCAGUAGCUAACCAAUUUGGUGGUAGAUCAACUGACAGGGUUGUCGUUAUGGAGGAUUGUGAUGCUAUGAGGAGGGUGCCAUCGUGUCACAAAGUACAGUAAUGCACAGGAGGUUACCGAUGGCUUGCCAAGGAUGCUAUUCCCACAGGGACUAAUAUCAGAGGAUGCAUGCCUAUUUCUGCCCCCCACACCAGGCCAAAGACUUUAGGAAGAUGCAUUUCAUAUAGUGUUGCAAGGUUGAUCAUUGUGGAAGAUUAAUCUUGGUGAAUGUGCGGUGGUCUGGAAAGGUCCAUAAUGUCAGACGCAGCUGACCCUGGGGCUGACAGCAGGAGCCAGAGCUACCUGGGGCUGACCACGGAGCCCUUCCUUGCAUGGCGGGCUGACAGUGGGAUCCCUGGGCAACAAGAGUAGAGACUCCCACUGUCAGCCAGUCCCAGUUGGCUGGAAUUC